CCUUUGAAGUUAGCGGCGGACGGGUGAGUAACACGUGGGUAACCUACCUAUAAGACUGGGAUAACUUCGGAAACCGGAGCUAAUACCGGAUAACACUUAGAACCGCAUGGUUCUAAAGUGAAAGANGGUUUUGCUAUCACUUAUAGAUGGACCCGCGCCGUAUUAGCUAGUUGGUAAGGUAACGGCUUACCAAGGCGACGAUACGUAGCCGACCUGAGAGGGUGAUCGGCCACACUGGAACUGAGACACGGUCCAGACUCCUACGGAAGGCAGCAG
rnacentral:rRNA from 1 species